UACGGGGGGGAGCAAGCGUUGUUCGGAUUUACUGGGCGUAAAGGGCGCGUAGGCGGUCAGCACAAGUCAGUUGUGAAAUCUCCGGGCUUAACUCGGAAAGGUCAACUGAUACUGUGCGACUAGAGUGCAGAAGGGGCAACUGGAAUUCUCGGUGUAGCGGUGAAAUGCGUAGAUAUCGAGAGGAACACCUGCGGCGAAGGCGGGUUGCUGGGCUGACACUGACGCUGAGGCGCGAAGCCAGGGGAGCGAACGGG
rnacentral:rRNA from 1 species